rnacentral:rRNA from 1 species
UACGUAGGGCGCAAGCGUUAUCCGGAAUUAUUGGGCGUAAAGAGCUCGUAGGCGGUUUGUCGCGUCUGCUGUGAAAGACCGGGUCUCAACUCCGGUUCUGCAGUGGGUACGGGCAGACUAGAGUGAUGUAGGGGAGACUGGAAUUCCUGGUGUAGCGGUGAAAUGCGCAGAUAUCAGGAGGAACACCGGUGGCGAAGGCGGGUCUCUGGGCCGAUACUGACGCUGAGGAGCGAAAGCGUGGGGAGCGAACAGG